rnacentral:lncRNA from 1 species
CUCUAAAACAUUGUCAGAAUGCUUUUAGUUGUCUGGAGCAAUGCUAAGACACUUGUAAGAAGAAGGAUGCAGUUGUGCUCCAGACUUCCUUCUUAGCUCCUGCCUUUACUAACCACCUGUUCAAUGGCAGUUCUUCGAGGUUCAACAGCAACUAGGGCUUACAUACAUAGAGUAGCACUUGAAGGAGUGGCUGGCCUUGAGGAAGCAGUCAUUUUGAGACUCCUCUUCUGACAUAUUGAGUGAAGAAGGAAGUGACACCUGCUGCCUACCUGAGAAGAAAACUCACCACCCUCAUGGAAGACUUAUGAUUGGGCAGCAACAGUCAAAAACUCCCUCUUCCCUCCUCCAACAGCCAGACAAAACUAGG